rnacentral:rRNA from 1 species
UGGGGAAUAUUGGACAAUGGGGGCAACCCUGAUCCAGCAAUACCGCGUGUGUGAAGAAGGCCUGAGGGUUGUAAAGCACUUUCAAUUGUGAAGAAAAGUUAACGGUUAAUAACCGUUGACCUUGACGUUAACUUUAGAAGAAGCACCGGCUAACUCCGUGCCAGCAGCCGCGGUAAUACGGAGGGUGCAAGCGUUAAUCGGAAUUACUGGGCGUAAAGCGUGCGUAGGCGGUUUAUCAAGUCAGAUGUGAAAUCCCCGGGCUUAACCUGGGAACUGCAUUUGAAACUGGUCAACUAGAGUAUGGUAGAGGAAAGUGGAAUUUCUGGUGUAGCGGUGAAAUGCGUAGAUAUCAGAAGGAACAUCAAUGGCGAAGGCAGCUUUCUGGCCCAAUACUGACGCUGAGGUACGAAAGCGUGGGUAGCAAACAGG